AGUGGGGAAGAUGGGUGGGUGACAGUAAGGAACCUAAUCAAGAUUCGACCACCAGGGAGUUCCCUGGUGGUCGAAUUGUUAGGACUCAGUGCUUUCACCACUGUUGGGGCCUGGGUUCCAUCCCUGGUCUAGGAACUGAGCUCCCACAUCAACCCACUGUACACUGAGACCGAAAAAAAAAAAAAGAGAGAUUCUGGGGAAGUUUGUUACUGUCAUUAGCGUUUCAUUAAGUAUUUCAUGUGCGAUCAUCUCUGUGGUUUCCCUCUCUACCUAACAGGUUUGCAAUGUGGCUCAGAUCCUGAGUUGCUGUGGCUGUGGUACAGGCCGGUGGCUAUGUUUGACCCCUAGCCUAGGAACCUCCGUAUGCUGCUGGUAUGGUCCUAAACAAAACAAAACAAAACAAAAACAACCACGAUUAUUUAUGGUCAAGUUUUUUUUAAACCCAUCUUUCUUUAUCAGUUAACGCAUGUUUCAGAAAUGCACAGGGUCAUGCAGCACUCUAUUAUGGAGUCUAUGGGAUGCCUUAUACAUUGUCUUAUAAUUAUCAACUGUUUAUGGUAAAUGGGCUACUACUUUGAUUGCAGCGUGAUUGUUACUACAGUCACCAAGUGUUUCAGUCCUCAGUAGGUCUGCUUCAGUGGUUCUCAGCAGGAGGGGGUGAGGAGGGAGGAUGAAGAUGAUUUGAAUGUUGGUCUGCCAGAAUUCUUGCCACUGUUAAAUCCAUGUGGUUCCCUGGUAGUUGCAGGUAAAGCCAGUAGUGCUGUUUUUUGAAGGAGAUUGACAGGAGGGUGAUUUAAGUCACUAGAGUGAAAGCUCCUUAUGUUUUGGAAAAAUUCUGGAUAGUUGUUUUAAAACUACUCAGAAGUGGUAGAACAUUUUAAUUGCUGUGCUGAAAAUAACAGAAGUAUAGAGUACAUAAAAUUCACAUUUUAUGUAACAUUGGAGAUGGAAUGCUUACUUGGCAUAUCUAAGUGUUAGUCUUAGAAGUAGACAGUGGUAUUCUGUAGAGGGCUACUUAGACUUUUCAGGGGAAUAUCUAAUGGGACCUCAAUGUUGGAAUUAUCUGAUUGCUUUUAAUUUAUAUAUAUAUAUAUAAAUAUAAUAUAUGUAUACAUUUAAAGGUUUAUUGUGGGGCCAGGCAAGGAGAAUGGGUGGCUUGUGUUCAGAAACCCCUAACUCUUGGUUUUAAUUUAACCCCCCCCCUUUUUUUUUUUUUUUUUGGGGAAAAGUGCUAAGUAAGACUUGAAUGAUAUUUUUGACCAGUUCAGAGUAUGGUUUCAAAUACAGUAAUUUUAUCAGAAAAUAAAAUGAAGCUCUUGCUGAGAAUGGUUGAACAUAAUUUACCAAAAUUAGGUAUUUGUUUUUCUUGGAGCUUGAAUGUAACCCUGUAAGUAGAUGCUACAAAACCACUUCAGUCACCAAGGAAAAUGGAUCUCUUGCUGUUCUUUGCCUCAGUGGUCUUCAUUUUACAGUUUAGUUAAAUCUCAUCAUCAGUAAUGGUUUUGUUUUUCAUAGGGAUAAGUUGACUCUGGACUUUUUAAGAUCUAGCCUGUUUCAUAGAUAAAUUUCCAUUUCACAAAUCAUAAUGGAGGAUGCCUGUAUUUAGUUGUGUUUGCUCACAUUUACUAUUAUCAAUGGAGUACAGUGAAAACUUUAUAUAGCUAAAUUCCCUUUUGGGGAAUUUCCAGAUCCACAGGGAAAGAUGAGAUAGAUAUGUACAGUGAAGAACUUUUAAAAGCUCUGUUUGUGAAGUUCAAAGAAAUAAAUACAUGCCUUCUCUUAUUAGUUGAGGAGGAGCAGAGCCUUUGUGAAUAGCAUAAAGGAAAUUUCUAGGAUGAUGGUGGGCCACCUCUAGCAUAGAAUAUAGCCAUUUAAAAAUGUUUGGUUUAAGGAGUUCCUGUCGUGGCGCAGCAGAAAUGAAUCUGACUAGGAACCAUGAGGUUUUGGGUUCAAUCCCCGGCCUUGCUCAGUGGGUUGAGUGUUUCCCUGAGUUGUGAUGUAGGUCACAGAUGUGGCUCAGAUCCUGCAUUGCAGUGGCCGGCAGCUGUAGCUCUGAUUCAACCCCUAGCUUGGGACCCUCCAUACACCGAUAGUGUGACCCUAAAAAAAAAAAAAAAA
rnacentral:lncRNA from 1 species